UGAAAAACAUAAUCAUAGUUUAUUGUUUUGUGAGUGAAAAACAGUGGAAAUGGCGGAGUUGGAAGAAAGCAGCAGUAAGAGAGGAGGAAGAUGGUGUCUGAAGGGAAUGACGGCUCUGGUCAGUGGUGGCACUCGUGGGAUCGGGCACGCCAUUGUGAGUGACUUGGCCGCGUUUGGCGCCGCUGUGCACACUUGUUCCAGGACCCAAACAGAGCUCAACAAGUGCUUAGAAGAAUGGCAGAGUGAAGGCUUUCAGGUCACUGGAUCGGUGUGUGACGUGUCCUCGCCACACGACAGAGAGAAGCUUCUUCAGAAAGUUGCAUCCAUCUUCAACGGAAAGCUUAACAUCUAUGCACCGCUGGAGCAUUCCCGGCGUCAAGAGCUUCCAGUUGAACCGAUCAGUUUUUGGUUCUGAAACUGUUUGUAAGGGGUGAUCGUCGAACUCUAAGAUUUCAGUAGUGAGGAGAUAUAUUUUUGCAUUGUUGAACGUUCGGUCACGCUUAGAGGUGCAUUGUUGAACGUUUGGUCACGCUUAGAGAAGGAGACGAGCUGUUGGAAGAAGCGCUGGAAGAAGAAAAUUUAGUUGAGGUAGAAAUUAAGACCGAACAGUAGAACCGUUCGGUCAGUAUUAUUAGUUUAGUUUUAAGAUGAUCGUUCGAUCAUCUUUUCCCUCUUAUUUUGUAGGACCGUUUGAUAUAGUCUCUUGUAAAUCGUUCGGUCGGGUUUGCUUAUGUUGUUCGGUUUUAGUUUUCUUGUUUCUCUGUAAGGUCGUUCGGUCACAAGCGUUCUUUAUUUUGUAAGACUGAUUUGUAAUAUUAAUCGAUGUGAUUAUUCUAUUAUAUAGUUUUUACACUGUAUUUUGAGAUGUUACAAUAUUUAAAUUUUUUAAUGUAUAAUUAUCGCUAACAUCAUAUAUUCCUUUUGAUUAUUCAUAUGA